AGUAGGUGGUAGUAGGUGGUAGUAGGUGGUAGUAGGUGGUAGUAGAUGGUAGUAGGUGGUAGUAGGUGGUAGUAGGUGGUAGUAGAUGGUAGUAGGUGGUAGUAGGUGGUAGUAGGUGGUAGUAGGUGGUAGUAGGUGGUAGUAGAUGGUAGUAGGUGGUAGUAGAUGGUAGUAGGUGGUAGUAGGUGGUAGUAGGUGGUAGUAGAUGGUAGUAGAUGGUAGUAGGUGGUAGUAGGUGGUAGUAGAUGGUAGUAGGUGGUAGUAGGUGGUAGUAGAUGGUAGUAGGUGGUAGUAGGUGGUAGUAGGUGGUAGUAGGUGGUAGUAGAUGGUAGUAGAUGGUAGUAGGUGGUAGUAGGUGGUAGUAGGUGGUAGUAGAUGGUAGUAGAUGGUAGUAGGUGGUAGUAGGUGGUAGUAGAUGGUAGUAGGUGGUAGUAGAUGGUAGUAGGUGGUAGUAGAUGGUAGUAGGUGGUAGUAGAUGGUAGUAGAUGGUAGUAGAUGGUACUAGAUGGUAGUAGGUGGUAGUAGAUGGUAGUAGAUGGUAGUAGGUGGUAGUAGAUGGUAGUAGAUGGUAGUAGGUGGUAGUAGAUGGUAGUAGAUGGUAGUAGAUGGUAGUAGGUGCCAGGCCCACCAGUUUGAGUCAAGAACUGUAACACUGCUGUGUUUUUCACGCUCAACAGUUUUCCCUAUGAAGAAUGGUCCACCACCCAGUCAGAGAGAGAGUGAGAAUGAUUGGGCAGGUCCUUUGAAGGGAAACGU